CCCUUAGAUGUUCUGGGCCGCACGCGCGCUACACUGACGGAGCCAACGAGUACUUUCCUUGUCCGGAAGGACUGGGUAAUCUUGUGAAACUUCGUCGUGCUGGGGAUAGAGCAUUGCAAUUAUUGCUCUUCAACGAGGAAUUCCUAGUAAGCGUGAGUCAUCAGCUCGCGUUGAUUACGUCCCUGCCCUUUGUACACACCGCCCGUCGCUACUACCGAUUGAAUGGUCCGGUGAGGCUUUGGGAUCUGAGCGGAAAGAGCGUUUCGCUGUUUCUGCUCGGAAAACUCAGUCGAACCUUAUCAUUUAGAGGAAGGAGAAGUCGUAACA
rnacentral:rRNA from 1 species